AAGACUAACGAUUGUUUUUCCUUUUGUGGCGUCGGGUCAGAAUGAAACACAAAUGGGUUUUCGGAGCUUUUCAACGCAAGCACUGAACGCCAGACGGUCAAACUUUCCCGAUGCUUUCCUGAAAAGAAAUGUAGAAACGUGAGACGGUCCCGACACAGGUUUGAAGCAGAAGUUAGGAAAACAGGGCACAUCAAGUCAAUGCAGGACCGUAGUACGACAUCACGCAGAACUCACUGGAGCAGGCGCCUUCUCAGCUUGACACUCCAGAAGAAAAACGUCAUCUGGCGUCGACCUUCAGAUGAGAGCUCGAGGACGCUCGUGGGGCGGUGGCACAAGGACAGAAAGUACAUGAAUAUAUUUAUUAUAACGUCUUGUUGCUUUGGAAGCAGACCAACUGUUGAGGAUUUCGUUCUGUGAACUGCAAUAAAAAUGUAUAUACUGUA